rnacentral:rRNA from 1 species
UUGCACCGAGUGCAACUUAGUGGCGGACGGGUGAGUAACGCGUGAGCAACCUGCCUUAUACAGGGGGAUAACAGUUAGAAAUGACUGCUAAUACCGCAUAAGCGCACGGCAUCGCAUGAUGCAGUGUGAAAAACUCCGGUGGUAUAAGAUGGACCCGCGUUGGAUUAGCUAGUUGGUGAGGUAACGGCCCACCAAGGCGACGAUCCAUAGCCGGACUGAGAGGUUGACCGGCCACAUUGGGACUGAGAUACGGCCCAGACUCC